CUCGUAGUUGGAUUUCUGGUGGGAGCGACCGGUCCGACGCUUAGCGUGGGUACUUGUGUCGUCUCCGGCCAUCCUUGGGGAGAGUCUGUCUGGCAUUAAGUUGUCGGGCAGAGGAUCCUCAUCGUUUACUGUGAAAAAAUUAGAGUGUUCAAAGCAGGCUUAUGCCGUUGAAUAUAUUAGCAUGGAAUAAUAAGAUAGGACUUUGGUACUAUUUUGUUGGUUUGCGCACCAAAGUAAUGAUUAAUAGGGACAGUUGGGGAUAUUCGUAUUUCGUUGUCAGAGGUGAAAUUCUUGGAUUUACGAAAGACGAACUACUGCGAAAGCAUUUAUCAA
rnacentral:rRNA from 1 species